GCCCGAGGCGCCCCCGGGCCGCAGCGGCGACGCCGCCCCGGGCGGCGCGGCCGAGGCGGGGGUGGUCUCCAGGGCGGACCCCAGGGACGAGAAGCUGGCCCUGUACCUGGCCGAGGUGGAGAGGCAGGACAAGUACCUGCGGCAGCGGAAUAAGUACCGCUUCCACAUCAUCCCCGACGGCAACUGUCUCUACCGAGCCGUCAGCAAGACGGUGUACGGAGACCAGAGCCUGCACCGCGAGCUGCGGGAGCAGACGGUGCACUACAUCGCCGACCACCUGGACCACUUCAGCCCCCUGAUCGAGGGCGACGUGGGCGAGUUCAUCAUCGCAGCCGCCCAGGACGGCGCCUGGGCCGGCUACCCGGAGUUGCUGGCCAUGGGGCAGAUGCUGAAUGUCAAUAUCCACUUAACUACUGGAGGGAGGUUGGAGAGCCCCACGGUGUCCACCAUGAUCCACUAUUUGGGCCCCGAGGAUUCGCUGAGGCCCAGUAUCUGGCUGAGUUGGCUCAGUAACGGACAUUACGACGCGGUGUUUGAUCACUGCUAUCCCAAUCCCGAGUACGACAAUUGGUGCAAACAGACUCAGGUGCAGAGAAAACGCGACGAAGAGCUUGCCAAGUCCAUGGCCAUAUCCCUGUCCAAGAUGUAUAUCGAACAAAAUGCAUGCUCUUGAAGUGUCUGGACACCUACACCCUGGGAGAAUCGCAUACGUCAUUUGUGUUUGGAGAAUUAUAUGAACUCGAAUCAGGAUGGAGAAACUGAAGAACCCAAAUUCUGGGAUUUAAGAGCUUGCACUCUUCACUACACAAAACUUAUUUUAAGUUGAAUUAAAAAGCAUCCGAGGUGAAGGAAAAUGCCACAGAGAAGCACUGAAACAGCCAGGGAUCUGGGAAGCAGAGAAACCUCCCAGGAUCAGGGAUCAGGGAAAAGCAAAUGGAAAGAUCAAAAGCAUAUUCAAGGCCUCUAAUUUGUAAUGAUGAGGAAAGACACUGAGUGAAUGUAUAUUGUCAAGUGUAGGCUGAACAAGGACAGUGUGGUUUCAGUGAAGUGUCUGCUGAUCAGUGAAAUUCCCCCGGACCCUCUGAGUGAUGGUUUGCUGACCGCUGCUUUAGGUGUCUGUAUUAAUCCACCGGCUGAGUUGUGCUGCAGAAGGAAAUGAUUGAAAACCGCAGUGGCUUACAACAAAGGGGCACUUCUCACUCAUGUGACAUGACCUUUGAGGGUCAGCUUUGAUGUUUCACUCCAGGCUGCAGGCUGGAAGAGCAGACCCCAUAUGGAACAGUGCUGAUUUAGGAAAGAGGGAGAAGAGAGAAGGCAGAAUCACAAUAUCUCUUGAAGGUCAAACAGUAUGAGUCCUACAAUGAGUACGGCCUCAGAAUGCUAUGUGUUCCGAGGGUGACAAAGGAAGCUCAGAGCCUCUGGAUUCCUGGCAAGACCCUCCACCUCACUCUCCCCCAUGCUGGCACUCACAGCCUCCUCUUCGCUCUUUGCUUGGAGAAUCUCAGGAUCCAUCUCACCAUUUCCCUUGCAUCACAGAUUGAGUUUCCUGAGCAGGAGAUUUGAACACAGAUGGUUCACUGGGGAGUUCUCUCAGCAUCGCCAGCUGUCGGGGGAAUGGAAGGCAGCAGAAUGGGCCUGGGCAGAGUAGUGGCAGCAGAGGCCCGCCAAGAUCCUGUAAUGCCAGGAAGAGUUCCGAAACUUUGAUGAUUUUUUAGAGUGGCUAUGAGGAAGGUAGGCCAAGGGGCCAGGCAUUUAUCUCUCUCCAUUGACCCGUCAUUGAGGGGACUGAGUGAGCCCAGGAAGCGGUGUGACGUUGAGUGAGGGAGCUCUCUUCAUCCAUGGGCAGUUCAGGGAGGGGCACUAGGCUAAGAGCUGUCAGCACUGCCAUCCCACAGCUGAGACAUGAGUGCUUCAGUCCUGGAAAGGGGGUUGGGGAUCUGGGCAGAGCGCUGCAGCAUUUACCACACCUGUCUACUUCAAGCACCCUCAGUAGUGCAGGACUCAGGGCGCCCAGGUUUCCCCAUCCCCUGGAUUCUCAUCUCCAUUCAGCUCUGCACAUUCUCUUUCCUGUCCCGGUCACCCAGCCCUCCCCAAACCCUGACUCUCCUACUGUGCUCUUUGAAAUUCACAGGCAGUCACCAGCACUCUUGUCUAUAUCUGCAGAUUCUUCUCUCACAAUUCCCUGCCUCUUCAUGCUCUAAGUGAAACCUAGCUCUUCCCUGAGGCCACUUCAUCUUCAGCAGACCUUCAAAGGAUGCUGUUUUCUCACCUACACCCUGUACCCCUUGGACACAGAGGUGGGAUAGGUGUCCUCCCUGUCUCCACAUUGCCACUUCCAGGCUUUGCUCCUUCCUGCCUCCCUAGUACUCCCAGCUCCAAAUCUCCAAUCAAGAGAGUGCCGUUCACCACCUCUCCAUGUUGCAGACCAGUGGGUCACUCCCACUCAUUCCUUGAAGACUUUAGCUCCUGGCACCCUGUAAGUCUUACUAACACAAGUCCUGUCAUCAUUCUUGUGAUAUAAAUGUCCACAUAGAGGUUGCUCUUAAUGCAUCUGCCCCCUGAUUUGUUAUUUCCCCUCCUAGAGUAGUCUUUGGUUCCACUCUAUCUCAUCAAAUUAUCCUCGUUCAUAGUCUUGACCUUGUUACCAAUGAUAACAAUCCAUCCAAGUUCCCGUUAUAAGCACCCCAUGCUCCAGCCAUCAUCUUGUGUCUUUCCAACUCAUUUCCUCAGGGAUUCUAACUCGAAUAAUUGACUCCAUUGGGACCUCAAAUACGACCUUUCCUCUGUCCCUCUCUGCCCAGCUGAGAUGUCUUGGUUCAUCAUGUACACAUUGUCAAUUGCAUUGCUCCCCUUGGUCCUCCUCACCUGGAAAAAGUUCAACUCUUCACUCAUUGCAGUUGGACAGGGCUUGAGAAAACCGUGCUUGUUAAAUGCAUGGACUGUCUUAGUCCAUUUCAGCUGCUAGAACAAAAUACCAGAGACCGGGAAUGUGAAACAUACCCAGAAACAAUAGAAAUUUAUUUCCUCCAGUUCUGGAAGCUGGAAAGUCCAAGAUCAAGGCACCAGCAUGGGCGAGUUCUGGUGAAGGUCCUCUUCCUGGAGCCUUCUGGCUGUGUGCUCCUAUGGUAGAUGAGGAGAGGAAGAUCGGUGGGGUCUCUUUUCUAAGAGUACUAAUCCCAUUCAUGAUGAGUCCAUCCUCGUGACCUAAGCAUCUCCCAAAGGUCUCUGAAUACCAUCACAUUGGGCACUAGGAUUUCAACAUAUGAAUUUUGCGGGGACACAAUAGCAUUGACCUAAAGUGAGGUCAUAGGGCUAUAGGUCAUAGCUAUAGUUACCUAGUCUGUUUUCUUCCUGACUUUCACACUUUCUCCUUUCCCUUCAAACACCCAACAUCUUCUCACUCUCAGCUGAUGACUUUGUAUUUUACUGAGGAAAUAGAAGCAAACAUAAGACUCUUUCCACAUGUUCCCUCCUAUCUCCAUCUGUACCCAUAGAGUCUGACUUCCCUCUUGAUCCUACAGAAGAAUAGUCUUUAUUUCUAUCUCAAGCCAACACCCCAAACCCGCACUUAUGUGGUAGAUCCUUCUCCUUUUUACAUACUGAAGGACACUGUUCCAGUGUUUGUCUCCUCCCUCUUGUACAUUAUCAAAUUAUUCUUGUCUACUAUAUCAUGCUAUCAGCGAACAGAUAUGCUGCCAUUUCUUCCAUCCUAAAAUGCCUCUCUUGAUCCCAUAUCCUCCUCCAGCAACUACAUUUCUCUGUGUCUCUGGAUAGCAAAACUCAGAAGAGUUGUCUUUACUCAUUAUCUCCUUUCCCUGUCCUUCGCCACACUGCAAUCAGAUUUUCAUCCUCUUCCCCUCACCAAUCCACUAAAAAGGCUGUCACAUUGUAGCUUUGAUGGUCAGUCCUCUGUCCUUAUUGGACUUGACUUCUCAGCAGCAUUGGACAAAGUUGGUCACUUUCUCUGUCUUGAAAUACACUCUUCUCUCAGCCUCCAGAAUACCACGGACUCCGGUUUUCUUUCAACAUUGCUGGCUGGUCCUUCCCAGUCUCCUUUGCUUGCCCCUCCUCAACCUCCACAUUGCUAAAUACUACAGUACUUCAGAGAUUCUCCAGCAGACAUCCUCUCAGCUCUGACUAUGCUCUCUCCUGGGGGAGCUCACCUGGUUCCAAGACUUUAAAUGCCAUAUAGCUCCCAAGCUUAUUUCCACACUCUGAACCUCUGCUUUGAUAUUCAGACUCAUAUAUCUAGUUGCUCACUUGACAUUUCCACUUGGAUGUCUCACGGGCAGCUCAGACUUAAUGUGUCCAUCUCCAGACUCCCGAUAAUAGCUGUCAUGUGGCUGCUUUGAGAAUCAAGUGAAGCAAUGCAUGUGCUGUAUCUUAGACUAUCCGUCAUGGUAAACACUCAAGAAAUAGUAACAUUAUUAUAAUUGCAUUGAGCAGGUACUCAAAUAUUUGUUGAAUAAAUGAAUAUUACAGUUAAUUGCUAGGGUAAUAAUAUACUGUCUUAGGUAGUCAGUAAUAAUAAGUAUAUGUUGAUGGUAAAGAGAAUAAGUAACAUAGCUUGUUUUUUAUCCAAUAAAUAUUUGAUGUGUACUAUGUACCAGGACCAGUUAUAGAAUAUAGCAGAAAAGACCAGAUAGAAUCCCUUCUUUCUUGAAGUUUACAUUCUGAGGGGUGGAGGGGGAAGGUGACAAAUAAACAGUAUGUGUAAAUAAACAAAUAUAUACUAUGUCGGAUAUUGAGAGACGCAAUGGAGAAAAAUAAAGUAGGGAAGAGAGAUUGAGGGUGCUAGGGAUGUGGUGGGGAGGCUGUUUUUGGUAGCAUGGUGUAUUAGUAAAUUAUUGCUGUGUAACAAACUACUCCUGAACUUAAAGUAACAACAAACAUUUAUUAUCUCCCACAGUUUCUGUGGGUUAGGAAUUUCAGAGCACCUUAGCUGGGUGGUUCUGGCUCAGAGCCUCUUAGAAGUGUACAAUCAAGGUGUUGGCUGAGGCUACUGCCAUCUGAGAGCUUGACUAGGCCUGGAGUUGGCUCCCUCACAGGCUGGCAAGCUGGUGUUGCCUGUUGGCAGGAGGCCUUUGUUGCUCGCCAUGUGGACCUCUCCACAGAGCUGCUUGCAUGUCCUCAUGGCAGAGCAGUUUGUUUCCUCAGAGAAGGUGAUCCAUAAGGGAUCAAAGGGGAAGCCUCAUGGUUUUUGGGGGGGGGGGGUUUGGUGAGGAAGAUUGGCCCUGAGCUAGCAUCUGUUGCUAAUCUUCCUCUUUUGGCUUGAGGAAGAUUGUCCCUGAGCUAAUAUCUUUGCCAGUCUUCCUCUAUUUUGUAUUUGGGAUGCAGCCACAACAUGGCUUGAUGAGCAAUGUGUAGGUGCAUGCCUGGGAUCCUAACCCAUGAACCCUGGGCCACCAAAGCGAUGUGUGAGAACUUAACCACUAUGUCACUGGACCAGCCCCAGAAGCCUCAUGUUUUCUAUGAGCUAGUCUCCGAAAUCACACAUUGUCAUUUCCACAAUAUCCUGUUGGUUACACAGGUCCAACAGGUUCAAUGUGGGAGAGGACGACAAAAGGGUGUCGAUACUAGGAAGGAAGGAUCAUCGACAGCCAUCUUGGAAGCUGGUUACCACAUGGCUGCAAAUUCUUUGACACUCUAUUGACAAAUGGGAUCAGUAUCACCUUCUCUUCUAUCUUGGGAGGUGAAGAGUGCUCAGUGACUGCUUAGGCCAAUAGACUAUAACAGAAGUGACACUAUACUAGUUUCUGAGCCCAGGCCUUAAGGACCGGGGGCUUUGACUUACUGCUUCUUGGAAUGGAACACUUGCUCCAUCAUGUAAGAAGUCUGACUACCCUGAGACCACCAUGCUGUGAGGAAUCCCAAAUUAGCCAGUAGAGAGACACUGGACAUCUGAAAGAAGAAGCCUUCUGAUGAUUCCAGCUCUAGCCUCUAUUUGACUGCAACUGUAUGGAGGCUCCCAGAGCUAUGAGAGAUAAUAGUAAAUUGCUGUGUAAAUCACCAGUUUUGUGAUGGUUUGUAUCACAGCAGAUGAUGGGAAUUCAGGGAAAGCUACUCGGAAAAGACAGCAUUCCAGCAAGGAUCUGGUUAUUUGAGGGAAGGGCCAUCCAGGGAACAGAAAAAAUAAGUGAAAUAGGCCAUGAAAUAGGAGUGUGCUUGGUGAAUUUGAAGAAUAGCAAGGGG
ensembl:lncRNA